rnacentral:rRNA from 1 species
GACGAACGCUGGCGGCGUGCCUAAUACAUGCUAGUCGAACGCACUCUCGUUUAGAUUGAAGGAGUUUGCUCCUGAUUGAUAAACAUUUGAGUGAGUGGCGGACGGGUGAGUAACACGUGGGUAACCUGCCCUAAAGUGGGGGAUAACAUUUGGAAACAGAUGCUAAUACCGCAUAAAACCUAACACCGCAUGGUGUAGGGUUGAAAGAUGGUUUCGGCUAUCACUUUAGGAUGGACCCGCGGUGCAUUAGUUAGUUGGUGAGGUAAAGGCUCACCAAGACCGUGAUGCAUAGCCGACCUGAGAGGGUAAUCGGCCACACUGGGACUGAGACACGGCCCAGACUCCUACGGGAGGCAGCAGUAGGGAAUCUUCCACAAUGGACGAAAGUCUGAUGGAGCAACGCCGCGUGAGUGAAGAAGGUUUUCGGAUCGUAAAACUCUGUUGUUGGAGAAGAAUGUAUCUGAUAGUAACUGAUCAGGUAGUGACGGUAUCCAACCAGAAAGCCACGGCUAACUACGUG